AUGUCCCUUGCUCACAAAUAUCUCUACUUCCACAAGAGUGACGACACUCUUCUCCGCUUUGUCUUUACAGAUCUGUCGUUGAGAGCGCUUGGAUUUUCCACAGGUCCUUCUCCCCAGAUAGCUGGUCAUGUUGAUGUCUAGCAGUGAAGGCAAAGCCCCUGGCCAUAGUGAUGGAGCUUACAGUGUUGUGGACAAGCGGCACAAUGAUAAAUCACUUUAUUAUUUGCAAGUGCACCAAAGAAAACUAAGGUAGGGAAAGAGGCUAAGCGUGGUGUCUGAGGGAAAGUCAGUCUGAGGAGGUGACAGUGAGGCACAGGUCUGACUGAUGUGCAGCUCUGUAAUAGUCCAUGAAACAAAUGAACGAUAAUCCACAUGGCCACACACCUGACAUUAAACAUUUUGCUUGUUGCAAAUAUAUCACUAUUAAAACAUCGCUACUGAACACUUUGAGAGCCACAAGCAUUUUGAGCUGAGUGGGACUCACGGAGAAUAAAGCUUCCAGAAUGAGCUGAGCUAAAUGGAAG
rnacentral:lncRNA from 1 species